rnacentral:rRNA from 1 species
CACGUAGGGUGCGAGCGUUGUCCGGAAUUAUUGGGCGUAAAGAGCUCGUAGGCGGUGUGUCGCGUCGGCCGUGAAAGUCCGGGGCUCAACUCCGGAUCUGCGGUGGGUACGGGCAGACUAGAGUGAUGUAGGGGAGACUGGAAUUCCUGGUGUAGCGGUGAAAUGCGCAGAUAUCAGGAGGAACACCGAUGGCGAAGGCAGGUCUCUGGGCAUUAACUGACGCUGAGGAGCGAAAGCAUGGGGAGCGAACAGG